GACAGAGGCCUCAAGCGUUAGGCGGAAUCACUGGGCUUAAAGCGUGUGUAGGCGGACUUCUAAGUGCCUUGUGAAAUCCCACGGCUCAACCGUGGAACUGCUGGGCAUACUGGGGAGUCUUGGGCCAUUCAGGGGCAACUGGAACAAGCGGUGGAGCGGUGAAAUGCGUAGAUAUCGCUUGGAACGCCGAAGGUGAAAACAGGUUGCUGGGGGAUGUGCCGACCGCUGAGACACGAAAGCCAGGGGAGCAAACGGG
rnacentral:rRNA from 1 species